rnacentral:misc_RNA from 1 species
GAUGAAGAACGUAGCGAAAUGCGAUACGUAGUGUGAAUUGCAGAAUUCAGUGAAUCAUCGAAUCUUUGAACGCACAUUGCGCCCUAUGGUAUUCCGUAGGGCAUGCCUGUUCGAGCGUCAUUACAACCCUCAAGCUUUGCUUGGUAUUGGACAUUGCCAGUUUCUGGCAGGUCUUAAAAUCAGUGGCGGUGCCAUUUGGCUUCAAGCGUAGUAAUUCUUCUCGCUUUGGAGAUCCAGGUGGUUACUUGCCAAUAACCCCCAAUUUUUUCAGGUUGACCUCGGAUCAGGUAGGGAUACCCGCUGAACUUAAGCAUAUCAAUAAGCGGAGGA